AGCGAACGCUGGCGGCAUGCUUAACACAUGCAAGUCGCACGGAGGGGCAACCCCUCCAGUGGCGGACGGGUGGAGUAACGCGUAGGUAUCUAUCCAUGGGUGGGGGAGUAACAGUGGGAAACUGCUGCUAAUACCGCAUGACACCUGAGGGUCAAAGGCGCAAGUCGCCUGUGGAGGAGCCUUCGUCCGAUUAGCUAGUUGGUGGGGUAAAGGCCUACCAAGGCGACGAUCGGUAGCUGGUCUGAGAGGAUGAUCAGCCACACUGGGACUGAGACACGGCCCAGACCCCUACGGGAGGCAGCAGUGGGGAAUAUUGGACAAUGGGCGCGAAGCCUGAUCCAGCAAUGCCGCGUGGAUGAAGAAGGUCUUCGGAUUGUAAAGUCCUUUCGACGGGACGAUGAUGACGGUACCCGUAGAAGAAGCCCCGGCUAACUUCGUGCCAGCAGCCGCGGUUAAUGUGUGACUGU
rnacentral:rRNA from 1 species